AAUCAGGAGCUGCCACGUCAGAUAUUCAAUGAGGCCUCAAUACACUCUAUCACACAGGAUUGUAGCUCAAAUAAAACCAAAAAUCACCAAACAGAACAGAACGUGUUCAGAAGCCUUCUCCUCUGACCAACGGAGCUGCCAACGCCUCCUCUCCUCUGCCCAAACAGAGCUGCCAACGCCUCCUCUCCUCUGAUGAACGGAGCUCCUCCUCGCCGCUGGAGCCGCCGCGGCGUCGUUCUGAGCCGUCGCCCACGCACCCAAAUACUGCGCACUUCCUGCAUCAGUUGUUAGGCUCACAGGUGCUGGUGAUUGCUUGGUUGGUGGGAUGCUUGCUUCCAUUUGCACAGGUUUAAAUCUUAUGCCGAGUGUGGCAGUUGGAAUUGCGGCAGCCAAAGCUGCUGUUGAGGCAGAGACCAGUGUGCCUACUGCAUUUAGUUUGGCCUCAAUUGCAGGAAAGUUGGAGUAGUUAUUGGUGUUGCUGGAAAGGACUGAUGAUAGGACACAUAAUAAGCAUUGUCAUUGAUUAUGAGAAAUAUACUUCUUCCCUUGUAAUCAAAUCUGUUGGGAUGGACCAUGAUAAAUUUAGUGUGAUGUAGUUUGUAUUUUUCUUCUAUUUAUUGUCAAAUGCAUGCUAAUUAUGUAAUCAUAUGAAAGAGUUGUAUAAUAAUAUAAUCUAUCUUGGAUAGAUAUUUGCUACC